GACUUGAAGUUGGCACCUUUUCUUUUAAAUUCCUCACACUAGCCUUCCAACAUGUUCUCAGCUUUUAUGGAAUGCCUACAGUGUUUGUCUCUCAAUAAAGGAAAUGAAGUGUCAACAAGAGACUUUCAUUUUGAAAUCCAGCAAUUUCAUCAGCCCACUGAAAUUAUGUUCAUUAUUACAAAACUCCACUAGUAUAAAUAUUACAUAACAAAAUCAUUACUUAUUGCCUUUCGACUUGGUUGGUGUAUCGGUCAGAGUUAUCCAGAGAAACAGAACAAAUAGAAUAUUUUCUAGGUUCCAUCACACUCUAUAAGUGCUGUGAUUCUAUCUUUAUGGAAAGCUGUUUUCCAGUCUCAAAAGAACUUGAUGAGAGUUUCUGUGUCAAACUUCAUGUAUUUCAAAAUGGACAUUUCUCAAUGCAGUUUGCAUUUCUUCAUCAUUUGUGGGGAGAAAUCAGCUUCCAUGUCAUGAGGACACUCAAACAGCCCUGUGGAGAGGUGCCUGUGGUGAGCUGCUCAGGCCUCCUGCCAAAGGCCGUAUAAACCUUGGAAAUGGAUUCUUCAGCUGCCGUGGUGCCUUGAGAUGACUGCAACCUUGUUCUAGGUCUUGCCUGCAACCUCCUAACAGACCCUGAGCUGGAACCACUCAGGUGUGCCACUUCCAUCCUGACCCUCGGAAAAUGUGUGAGAGUACAGAGAAUGGGAAUGAGCCAGCCUGGAUUGUGCUUACUAUUUAGAAAAAGUGGAAAAUUCCUAUCAGGGACAAGACUGAUUCUUUGCCUCUAGUACUAAACUCAGCACAAGUUGCCGCAGAACAGAUUUUAAUCCAUCCCUGGUCUACCAGUCCUUGGCUCCAUGCACCAGCGCCGCUUCAGCGCCCGGACCUGAAAAAUCAGCCAAUCCCUGAGCUGCUGGCUCCCCCUAACCGUGGCAUGAACUGGGCUCUUUGCUUCACUCAGAGAUUGUUUUCUGCCAGCAGUUUCCCCUUAGCAAUUAAGACUAUGAUCCAAUUUGAGUGAUUUUUUUUCAGAACGGUGUAAGAAACCCAUGAGUACUGAAGCUAAGUUCACAUUCAUAAAUAAAAUCUCCAGAGCAGAAGAUUAAAAGCAUGAAUGAAGAUCACUUUACUACCAGAAUCCAGAUCACAUUUUGAAUUAUUGAUGUUACAAGGUUCACACGUAUGCAGGGAACUGAUGACGAGGCAGUGCCAUUCGAUGCUGUGUUCAGACUGGUGUGUUUAUCAGUGGAGAGUCUGGCCGCCAGACCUAGAUAAACACAUGCUUAUCAACAACCAACACCAUAUGGCAGGAAACAGCCUCUGACUUGGGCAGUGGCAUCCAGGAUCGGCCCUCCUGGUGUCUGCACGGGGCCCAGCUGCCAGAGUACAAAUUAAUUGCUUCUCUUCUUUUUGCUCCCCUGGAAGGUAGCAUUUAAGUUAAUAUAAUCGAUGAGUUUCCUCAAAUCAACAUCUGACCGGCAAUAUUGGUCUCCAUUUUCUGCUUCACUCUUGUUUCUAUUUCCUGUUGCUGCAGUCAUGUAAUGUUUUAUAAAGAGAGCAGGAAAGGUGGACCUGUUCACAUCUCAAUCUAAGUGCUGCCAAGCACAGAGUUUGUAACGUCAGAAGACUCACCGCCACUGCAGGUGGCCUUCCCUGGCUCCACUGGGCACUUCAGCUCUGCUUCUGACCAAUGGCUACAACAGCUUUCUCAACUGCCAAUUUCUGACAACCAGGAUAGACUACUAGUGGGCUACGAGAGGGCUCCAUGUUAAAAAAGUAUUGCUCUUUAAAUUUGCUCUGACACUGCACACGUAGGAAGAAUUCUUAUUUGUACAGUGCACUGGGGGCAAGACCUGGCUGGGUAAGUUACCUACUCUCUCCGGAGCAGGGUUUCUGUACCCUUCUCAGAAAUGCUCCCUUUUCUCUCAUAUGCCGCCCUCAGGAAAUGACAUAA